UUUUGUUAACAUCGCUGACGGAGAAUCUAAUUGACUUUACAGAAACCAUUCCUCAGGUGUCUUCCCAGCCCACAGUUACACCCAGGUGGAUCGUGCCAAGUGGGCAGACUUCCAAUGGGUCUUUGGGGAAUGAUGUUGUUUUAGCUCUAAAGGCAGUGAAAGGCAGCGCUGAAGCAGUGUCGCUUCCAGCUGGAUCUCCAUCAUCACAGCAGUCAGCUGAAAUGCUUGCAAGCCCCAUCACGGAGGAGCCUGCGAUAAAACCGAAAUGUUUACUCACCACUGAACUCUGAGAGGAGGGAGCUUCGGUGCUUCCAAUCUGCUGAAAACUCAAACCUUCUAGCAUCUUCAAGGAGCCCUUUGGAAGGACCUACCUGGGAUUAAGCUCUUGCUGGAUGUGGCCACAAACGACCAGCUGCUUUGCUGAGAAUCUGGAGGGAAACUUUCAUCUUUGUUGCAGUUCAGCUAGAACUAUAAUAUAAAGUAGGAUGUAAAGCUCCAAGGAUGCAUGAGCUUCUCCCUCAGGAGAGAUGAAGCACACGCUGGAACUAGUUCUGGGCAUGAAUAACGAAAUCUAGGAGAGUUUCAUCCAUAUUUGACUUAGUCUCUUUACCUUUACUGCUUCAUAGAUGGAAAGUGUUCACUCUGAUAUCAGCCCACUAGCUUUGUGAAAAGUUGUGGCCCAGAGCUUCAUAACUUGACACUGGGAGAAAUUAGAAGAACUUCUAGGGCCAGCAGCUGGUUAUGAAUAUAAAUGAUGACUAAUAGCGAUAAUGGUAAUUUUAUACAAUCAA
rnacentral:lncRNA from 1 species